rnacentral:rRNA from 1 species
GACGAACGCUGGCGGCGUGCUUAACACAUGCAAGUCGAACGGAAAGGCUCCAGCUUGCUGGAGUACUCGAGUGGCGAACGGGUGAGUAACACGUGGGUAAUCUGCCCUGCACUCUGGGAUAAGCCUGGGAAACUGGGUCUAAUACUGGAUAUGACCUUUCUCCUUAUGGGGUUUGGUGGAAAGUUUUUCGGUGUAGGAUGAGCCCGCGGCCUAUCAGCUUGUUGGUGGGGUGAUGGCCUACCAAGGCGACGACGGGUAGCCGGCCUGAGAGGGUGAUCGGCCACAUUGGGACUGAGAUACGGCCCAGCCUCCUACGGGAGGCAGCAGUGGGGAAUAUUGCACAAUGGGCGGAAGCCUGAUGCAGCGACGCCGCGUGAGGGAUGACGGCCUUCGGGUUGUAAACCUCUUUCAGCAGGGACGAAGCGUAAGUGACGGUACCUGCAGAAGAAGCACCGGCUAACUACGUG